UACGUAGGGGGCGAGCGUUGUCCGGAAUUAUUGGGCGUAAAGAGCUCGUAGGCGGUUCGGCAAGUCACGUGUGAAAUCUCCACGCUCAACGUGGAGGCGCCACGUGAGACUGCUGUGACUCGAGUCCGGUAGGGGAGCGUGGAAUUCCCAGUGUAGCGGUGAAAUGCGCAGAGAUCGGGAGGAACACCCGUAGCGAAGGCGGCGCUCUGGGCCGGUACUGACGCUGAGGAGCGAAAGCGUGGGGAGCAAACAGG
rnacentral:rRNA from 1 species